CGGGGCUUAAAGUCUUGUAAUUGGAAUGAUGGGAAUUUAAACCUCUUCCAGAGUAUCAAUUGGAGGGCAAGUCUGGUGCCAGCAGCCGCGGUAAUUCCAGCUCCAAUAGCGUAUAUUAAAAUUGUUGCAGUUAAAAAGCUCGUAGUUGAAUUUCUGCUGCAUUGUCGAGUCCCUCCGGGGUCUUGGCACGUGGCUUUUUUCGGACGGUUCGCUGUCUGGAUGUUUACUUUGAGAAAAUUAGAGUGCUCAAAGCAGGCUUUUGCCUUGAAUAGUUUAGCAUGGAAUAAUAAAGUAGGACUUUGGUUCUAUUUUGUUGGUUUUAGGUACCAAAGUAAUGGUUAAUAGGAACAGUUGGGGGCAUUCGUAUUUAACUGUCAGAGGUGAAAUUCUUAGAUUUGUUAAAGACGAACUACUGCGAAAGCAUUUGCCAAGGAUGUUUUCAUUAAUCAAGAAC
rnacentral:rRNA from 1 species